rnacentral:tRNA from 1 species
GCGGUAAUAGCUCAGUUGUAAAAGCUGAAGGAGAGCGUUAGACUGAAGAUCUUAAGGUCCCUAGUUCGAUUAAUUCGUGGUUCUGGGUUACCGCA